rnacentral:rRNA from 1 species
CAGCCGCCGCGGUAAUACAGAGGGUGCGAGCGUUAAUCGGAUUUACUGGGCGUAAAGCGUGCGUAGGCGGCUAAUUGAGUCGGAUGUGAAAUCCCAGAGCUUAACUUGGGAAUUGCAUUCGAUACUGGUUAGCUAGAGUGUGGGAGAGGAUGGUAGAAUUCCAGGUGUAGCGGUGAAAUGCGUAGAGAUCUGGAGGAAUACCGAUGGCGAAGGCAGCCAUCUGGCCUAAUACUGACGCUGAGGUACGAAAGCAUGGGGAGCAAACAGGAUUAGAUACCCCUGUAGUCCCUGUCUCUUAUAC